rnacentral:rRNA from 1 species
UACGUAGGGGACGAGCGUUGUCCGGAAUUACUGGGCGUAAAGGGCGCGCAGGCUGUAGAUCAAGUCAGCUGUGAAAUGUCUGGGCUUAACCCGGGCAUGCGGUUGAAACUGAUGUACUGGAGUGCUGUAGAGGCAAGUGGAAUUCCCAGUGUAGCGGUGAAAUGCGUAGAUAUUGGGAAGAACACCGGUGGCGAAGGCGACUUGCUGGGCAGCAACUGACGCUGAGGCGCGAAAGCCAGGGGAGCAAACGGGAUUA